rnacentral:tRNA from 1 species
GCCUUCGUGGUGUAGUGGGCAGCAUACUCGAUGCGUAACCGAGAGGUUCGUAGUUCGAUUCCCUGUGAAGGCG